GCUCUUUCAUGGCUGCCAUCUCUGCCCUCUUGUAAGCUAGUACGUUAUUGCAAUAGACCUAAUUGACUUCAACCCAAUUCAAACCACCCGGGAGAUUUGAAUUGGGUGGCAACGAACAUAGCAACGCCGUCAGCCGAUUAGGUCUAUUGAGGACGAUGCGGAGAGGAGGCAAACUAAAACAAGUAACUUGGACUAUUAAGCCUCUUACAGUACGAUAUCGGCAUUGCAGUAAGAAAAUCUCUAGACUAUCCUUCUAUCCCAUGGACUACCAGAGGACGAUCAAUUGUAAAGUAAAUGGCCCAAACCUUCCCAGAGACACAGAGUAAAAUUCAAUACACCUGUAUGUGGACAGAAGUAAGCCAGGAUAUGUCCAUUGCCAAAGGGAUUCUUGCUGUCAGGGCUUCCACCAAGUGCCAUUAUUGUAGUACCUCAUCUGUCCCCC